GUAUAAAAAUGAUAGAUAAAUAAAUAAAUAAAUAAAUACGCACAGACUGCCAGGAACAGCACCUCAGCCAUGUGUGGCCUUUUGGAGAGUGGACGCUGCUGCUGGAAAAGCAGCAGGGUGGCGGACAAACAGGCGCAUAACCAAGCAUUCAUAUACCCAGCAGAGUCGGUUAUAAAUAAACAUUAGCUAGGAACCUGUGAGGAAUAUUUAUUGACCUCACUGCACAGAAUGCAUUUUGAAUUGCCGGGAGGACGACAUAGCAACCUGAGAAGAACUGGACCUUCAUAAAAUUGGUAUUUCAUGCUGUAUGAAAACAUGACAUCAAAUACAGACCCAGGGGUCUUAAGAUGCAGUCUAGCCUUCUCAUUCUAGAGCCUCAUUGACUUUAUUUAGAGAGAUUCAUGAGUAAAUGUGUAUGGAAAUCAGCUGUUAUCUGUAGGUACCAGACACCUAUAAAGGGUUGUUGUUGUUUUGA